GGGAAAGUGGCUCAGUGGUAGAGUGCUUGCCUUGUAUGCAAAAGGCUCUGGGUUCCAUUCCUCAGCACCA
rnacentral:tRNA from 1 species